rnacentral:rRNA from 1 species
GACGAACGCUGGCGGCGUGCUUAACACAUGCAAGUCGAACGGAAAGGCCCCUUUGUGGGUACUCGAGUGGCGACCGGGUGCGUAACACGUGAGUAACCUUCCCUUAACUUCGGGAUAACUUUAGGUAACUGGGGCUAAUACCGGUUAGGAAUCCUUUCUUCAUGGUGGUGGUUGGAAAGCUUCGGCGGUUUUUGAUGGACUCGCGAGGUAUCAGCUUGUUGGGGGGGUUGUGGGUUACCAAGGCUUUGUCGGGUAGCCGGCCUGAGAAGGCGACCUGCCACAUUGAGACUGAGAGAAGGCCGAGACAGCGAAGGGAGGCAGAAGUGGGGAAGAUUGAACAAGGGGCGGAGGGCUGAUGAAGCAGCGCCGCGUGUGGGAUGACGGUGUUAGGGGGGUAAAACGCAUUCAGAAGGGGCGAAGCAUGUGGUGACGGUACCUGAAGAAGAAGCACCGGCUAACUACGUG